rnacentral:rRNA from 1 species
UACGAAGGGGCGAGCGUUGUUCGGAAUUACUGGGCGUAAAGGGCGCGUAGGCGGCCCCUUUUGUCGCGUGUGAAAGCCCCGGGCUCAACCUGGGAGGUGCGCGCGAAACGGGGGGCUUGAGUUCGGAGAGGAGCGUGGAAUUCCCAGUGUAGAGGUGAAAUUCGUAGAUAUUGGGAAGAACACCAAUGGCGAAGGCAGCUCUCUGGGACGGUACUGACGCUGAGACGCGAAAGCGUGGGAGCGAACAGG